rnacentral:rRNA from 1 species
AUUGAACGCUGGCGGCAGGCCUAACACAUGCAAGUCGAGCGCGCGUCGGAGGGGGGAGAAAAGUAUGGGGGCUGCCCGAUAGAGGGGGGUAACAAUUGGAAACGGUAGCUAAAACCGCACACUAUAGGAUUAUCCACAUGGGAUUAGCUAGUAGGUGAGGUAAUGGCUCACCUAGGCGAAGAUCCCUAGCUGGUCUGAGAGGAUGAUCAGCCACACUGGGACUGAGACACGGCCCAGACUCCUACGGAGGCAGCAGUGGGGAAUAUUGCACAAUGGGCGCAAGCCUGAUGCAGCCAUGCCGCGUGUAUGAAGAAGGCCCUAGGGUUGUAAAGUACUUUCAGUCGGGAGGCGUUACCGACAGAAGAAGCACCGGCUAACUCCGUGCCAGCCGCCGCGGUAAUAC